CGCCGUGGGCGGCGCCUCCUCCACCAGGGAGCCCUCCAUCAGGGAGCCGCUCCCGCCACCUCCACCAGGGAGCCCUCCAUCAGGGAGCCGCUCCCGGCACCUCCACCAGGGAGCCCUCCAUCAGGGAGCCGCUCCCGGCACCUCCACCAGGGAGCCCUCCACCAGAGAGCCGCUCCCAGGACCGGCGCUCUCGAUCCUGUGAGGAAGCGUCUGGACCAGACAGAUGGCAAUGGCAGCUGAGCAACUUGUAGGUAGCACCGGGGAGACGCCUAGUAUAGAACUAUGUUGGAGGACUGCGUGGUCAACCCUCCCACAGUUUAACGAGAGAUUGAAGAGCGUCUUAAAUCUCCCAAUCCCGAAGAACAAUGAAGAACGUCUUCCACCCCAAGCCCUUCCUUGUCGCUUUCCCCAACGCAUGUCGGGUGACAUGGACGUCUGCACGGUAGGGCGGCGGAAACCCCUCCAGCUUCUCCACUUCAGCCGCAAAUACUACCUGAGCUGCUGAGAAUUUCCUGCUAUUUCUGCCUUAUUUCAGACAGCUAGCAGUAUUUUGAAUUUUGGAUGAGGGAUUUCAGGAGUCUGUUUGAUUGAUGUGAAGGGAAUUAAAAUUCGAUUACAAGAUAUUCACUUGAAGUCUGGGCUGAACGACAAAAGAGUAAAAAAUUAAAGUUGUACACAUCUCUAGUCAAACCACAUCUGAAGUAAUAAGUUAUUUUUGAGCAGCAUGUCUGAGGAAGAAUACAUUAGCUUUGGAGAGGUGAAAUGCAGAUUCACCUGAAUGACAUGGAAGCCUAACAUCGAGGAGCUGGUGGCCUUUGCUGAAGACCGACUUUGGGAGCUCCAACCACGGGAGCCUGCGGAUUUAACAUCGUGGGUCUCGCGAUCCCUGGUUAGAGACUGAUUUCAGGAGCUCCAAGCCGCAGGAGCUACGAACGCCCCAACAUGGGGGCUUCAAUCGCUGGCCUCGGGAGCUUCGAUCUCCCCGACUGCGGAUGGUUCGACUACCCCGACAGCGGGAGAAUAAAGAGGAAGAAGGUUG